GAUGAACGCUGGCGGCGUGCCUAAUACAUGCAAGUCGAGCGAACGGACGAGAAGCUUGCUUUUCUGAUGUUAGCGGCGGACGGGUGAGUCACACGUGGAUAACCUACCUAUAAGACUGGGAUCACUUCGGGACACCGGCUCUAAUCCCGUAUAAUAUUUUGAACCGCAUGGUUCAAAAGUGAAAGACGGUCUUGCUGUCACUUCUCGAUGGAUCCCCGCUGCAUUAGCUAGUUGGUAAGGUAACGGCUUACCAAGGCAACUAUGCAUAGCCGACCUGAGGGGGGGAUCGGCGACACUGGAACGGAGACGCGGACAUGACGCCUGCGGGAGGCAGCAGAAGGGAAUCGGCCGCAGUGGGCGAGAGCCUGACGGAGCGAGGGCGCGUGAGAGGUGAAGAUCUUGGGAGCGUGAAGCUGUGUUAUUAGGGAAAAACAGAUGUGGAAGUAACCGAGGAGAGCGUGACGGUAACUAAUAAGAAAGCCACGGCUAACUACGUG
rnacentral:rRNA from 1 species